rnacentral:rRNA from 1 species
AAGGAUCAUUAACGAGUUAGGGUCUUCUAGGCCCGACCUCCCAACCCUGUGCUUAUUGAAUCUUUGUUGCUUCGGCAGGCCCGUCUUCACGGACCGCCGGGGGACCGCCGCAAGGCGAACCUCUGGCCCGUGCCCGCCGAUGGCCAACCCUCAAAACUCUUGAAUAAAUCGUGUCUCAUGUCUAAGUCUUGAUUAAAUAAAAGCAAAACUUUCAACAACGGAUCUCUUGGUUCUGGCAUCGAUGAAGAACGCAGCGAAAUGCGAUAAGUAAUGCGAAUUGCAGAAUUCCAGUGAGUCAUCGAAUCUUUGAACGCACAUUGCGCCCUUUGGCAUUCCGAAGGGCAUGCCUGUCCGAGCGUCAUUAUCACCCCUCAAGCCCCGUGCUUGGUGUUGGACGGCCUGGCUAGGGACUCCCCUAGCCCCUCCUAAAGAUAACGACGGCGGCCUCGUGGAACCCCCGGUACACUGAGCUUUUAACUGAGCACGUAUCGGAUCGAGGGCGCCCGGGACCCGGUCUCACUCUCUUCAUCGGGAAAACUUUUACAAGGUUGACCUCGGAUCAGGUAGGAAUACGCGCUGAACUUAA